AAAAAAUUAGUUAAACCCAUAACAUUAGCUUGUCAAGCUAAAAUUAUUAAUUUAUUAAUAUUUUUUA
rnacentral:tRNA from 2 species